rnacentral:rRNA from 1 species
GCAUGGCGCAGCUACCAUGCAGUCACGAGAAAGGGGUAGCAAUAUCCCGAGUACAGUGGCGCACGGGUGAGUAACACGUAGGCAAUCUGCCUUCAGGACGGGGAUAAUUUCGCGAAAGCGGGACUAAUACCCGAUUAUGCAGCGGCACCGCAUGGUGACAGUUGUUAAAAGCCGCAAGGCGCCUGGAGAUGAGCCUGCGUCCCAUUAGGUAGUUGGCGGGGUAACGGCCCCCCAAGCCUGCGAUGGGUAGCUGGUCUGAGAGGAUGGCCAGCCACACUGGAACUGAGACACGGUCCAGACUCCUACGGGAGGCAGCAGUGAGGAAUAUUGCGCAAUGGCCGAAAGGCUGACGCAGCGACGCCGCGUGAGGGAUGAAGUCCGUUAGGAUGUAAACCUCUUUUGCAGGGGAUGAAGCUGCCGCUACAGGCGGCAGUCGACCGUACCCUGCGAAUAAGGGUCGGCUAACUACGUGCCAGCAGCCGCGGUAAUACGUAGGACCCGAGCGUUGUCCGGAUUUACUGGGUGUAAAGGGCGUGUAGGUGGGCGCUUAAGUCGAUGGUGAAAUCCUGCGGCUCAACCGUAGAAUUGCCGUCGAUACUGGGCGUCUUGAGUACGGCAGAGGGAGAUGGAAUUCAUGGUGUAGCGGUGAAAUGUGUAGAUAUCAUGAAGAACACCGGUAGCGAAGGCGGUCUCCUGGUCCGUUACUGACACUGAGGCGCGAAAGCGUGGGGAGCAAACAGGAUUAGAUACCCUGGUAGUCCACGCCUUAAACGAUGGGUACUAGGUGCUGGGCCGCAAGGUUCAGUGCCAAAGCUAACGCAUUAAGUACCCCACCUGGGGAGUACGAUCGCAAGGUUGAAACUCAAAGGAAUUGACGG